AAUUUGAAAUCUGGCUCCCCCCUGGGGGGCCCGAGUUGUAAUUUGGAGAGGAUGCUUUGGGCGCGGCGCCUUCCGAGUUCCUUGGAACAGGACGCCAGAGAGGGUGAGAGCCCCGUACGGUCGGACGCCUAGCCCGUGCAAAGCUCCUUCGACGAGUCGAGUAGUUUGGGAAUGCUGCUCAAAAUGGGAGGUAAAUUUCUUCUAAAGCUAAAUACCGGCCAGAGACCGAUAGCGCACAAGUAGAGUGAUCGAAAGAUGAAAAGCACUUUGAAAAGAGGGUUAAACAGCACGUGAAAUUGUUGAAAGGGAAGCGCCUGUGGCCAGACGUGCGCCCCGCGGACCACCCGUCGCUCUGCGGCGGGGCACGCCGCGGCGGCGCAGGCCAGCAUCGGCUCUCCCAGGGGGACAAAGGCCGCGGGAACGUAGCUCCUUCGGGAGUGUUAUAGCCCGCGGCGCCAUGCCUCUGGGGGGGCCGAGGACCGCGCCUUCGGGCAAGGAUGCUGGCGUAAUGGCCACCAGCGACCCGUCUUGAAACACGGACCAAGGAGUCAAGCAUUGGGGCGAGUGUUUGGGUGACAAACCCGCACGCGAAAUGAAAGUGAACGCAGGUGGGAGCCUCCGGGCGCACCACCGACCGAUCCUGAAGUUUUCGGAUGGAUUUGAGUAGGAGCCUUGCCGCUUGGACCCGAAAGA
rnacentral:rRNA from 1 species